rnacentral:rRNA from 1 species
AUGAAAUUAAAAUUAUUAAAUAUAAUUUUAUCAAUAAUAAAUAAACUUAAUAAUAAUAAUAAUAUUAUUAUUAAUAAUCUAUUAGAUUCAUUAAUAAAUAAGAAAUUAUUAUUAAAGAAUAUAUUAUUAGAUAUAAAUAAUAAAAAAAUAAAUAAUAUAAAAAGAAUAUUAAAUAAUAAUAAUAUAAAUAUUAAUAAUAAAUUACAACAUUUAAAUAAUAUAAAUAAUUGAAAUCUACAAAUUUAUAAUUAUAAUAAAAAUAUAGAAAUUAUAAAUACUAUAAAUGAUAAAUUAAUUAAUAAAUUAUUAUAUAAAAUAAUAACUUUAAAAUUAAAUAAUAUAAAUAUUAAUAAAAUUAUUAUAAGUAAACUUAUUAAUCAACAUAGUUUAAAUAAAUUAAAUAUUAAAUUUUAUUAUUAUAAUAAUGAUAUUAAUAAUAAUAAUAAUAAUAAUAAUAAUAAUAAUAAUUAUUAUAUAAAUAUAAUAAAUAAAUUAAUAAAUAUUAUAAAUAAUAAUAUAAAUAAUAAUUUAUGUAAUAUUUUAAGUUAUUAUUAUAAUAAAAAAGUAACUAUUGAACCUAUUAAAUUAUCAUAUAUUUAUUUAAAUAGUGAUAUUUUUAGUAAAUAUAUUAGUUUAAAUGAUAUAGAUAAAUAUAAUAAUGGUAUCUUAACUAAUUAUCAACGUAUAUUAAAUAAUAUUAUGCCUAAAUUAAAUGAUCAUAAUAUUUCUAUAAAUUAUAUUAAUAAUAUUAAUAAUAUUAAUAAUAAUAAAUAUAAUAAUAUAAUUAAUUUAUUAAAUAAUAAUAAUAAUAAUAAUAAUAUUAAUAAUAAUAAUAAUUAUAAUAAUAAUAAUAAUAAUUAUAUUGGUAAUAUUAAUAAUAUUUAUAAUAAUAUAACUAUUGAUAAUAUUCCUAUAGAUAUUUUAAUAUAUAAAUAUUUAGUUGGUUGAUCUAUUAAAUUUAAAGGUAGAUUAAGUAAUAAUAAUGGUAGAACUAGUACACUUAAUUUAUUAAAUGGUACUUUUAAUAAUAAAAAAUAUUUAUGAAGUAAUAUUAAUAAUAAUUAUAAAUUAAAUUAUAUCCCUUCUAAUCAUAAUUUAUAUAAUAAUUCUAAUAUUAAUAAAAAUGGUAAAUAUAAUAUUAAAGUUAAAUUAAACUUUAUUUAA